CAGUAGCCGCGGUAAUACGGAGGGUGCGAGCGUUAAUCGGAAUUACUGGGCGUAAAGCGUACGCAGGCGGUUUGUUAAGUCAGAUGUGAAAUCCCCGAGCUUAACUCGGGAACUGCAUUUGAAACUGGCAGGCUAGAGUCUCGUAGAGGGGGGUAGAAUUCCAGGUGUAGCGGUGAAAUGCGUAGAGAUCUGGAGGAAUACCGGUGGCGAAGGCGGCCCCCUGAACGAAGACUGACGCUCAGGUACGAAAGCGUGGGGAGCAAACAGGAUUAGAUACCCCGGUAGUCCCUGUCUCUUAUAC
rnacentral:rRNA from 1 species